rnacentral:rRNA from 1 species
GUGGGGAAUAUUGGGCAAUGGGCGCAAGCCUGACCCAGCAACGCCGCGUGAAGGAAGAAGGCUUUCGGGUUGUAAACUUCUUUUGUCGGGGACGAGUAGAAGACGGUACCUGGCGAAUAAGCCACGGCUAACUACGUGCCAGCAGCCGCGGUAAUACGUAGGUGGCAAGCGUUGUCCGGAUUUACUGGGUGUAAAGGGCGUGUAGCCGGGAAGGCAAGUCAGAUGUGAAAUCCACGGGCUUAACUCGUGAACUGCAUUUGAAACUACUUUUCUUGAGUAUCGGAGAGGCAAUCGGAAUUCCUAGUGUAGCGGUGAAAUGCGUAGAUAUUAGGAGGAACACCAGUGGCGAAGGCGGAUUGCUGGACGACAACUGACGGUGAGGCGCGAAAGCGUGGGGAGCAAACAGGA